rnacentral:lncRNA from 1 species
CUUCACUCCCCCGGACACAGCCAACAUCUCAGUGCUGCAGAGGAGAGGCAGGAAGGAGCGUGGAGAGAGGACAUCAGGGAGAAAUGGCUCUGGAUCUGGACUCCUGGUCCUCUUCCCUGCCCUGCCAUAUUCCUCUCUGUCCCAGAGACUGGGCUUUGGGGGAAGAACAAGUCUGGUGGGACUUUGGGGGCCAGUCAUAGAAGCAGCCUCGUUGUUCAUCGGUUCAUUGAUGUCAUCAUAGGUGGCCCACAUCUCUGGCUUUGGGCUUCUCCCCUGGGCGGGUGGGUGCUCCACCCUCCCGCCCUCUCCGCUCUGUGGACAAGGACGUGAGGACCAGAGACAUCCAGCACCACGGACAGCUCCCAGCGAUGACCCAGAAAGCCAGGUGUGGUGCUUCACACCUGUAAUCUCAGCACCUGGACAUCUGGGGCAGAAGAAUGGCCAAAGAGAAGACCUGACCUGGCCCCAAGCUCCCCAAGGGCAAAGUGUGUUCCCAGAUUGAGAAGGGGCUGCCUCCAGCAAACAGAUGUGAACAGAGGCAGAGGGCACCACCCGGCAGCUUCUCCCCAAGCUAUGGAAUGCGGGCUUUGCUCACCUGGUCACUUCCAGCAAGUUGUCCCACCCGGCCCAUCUAUUUCUCCUGUUGCCUCUCGGCUGCAUCCCUAAAUCCUACCCCAUGUCCAAUAAAGAGUGUUGCAGACUGAACAGC